GACGAACGCUGGCGGCGUGCUUAACACAUGCAAGUCGAACGAGAGCGUAGAGAAAGCUUGCUUUUUCUACAAUCUAGUGGCAAACGGGUGAGUAACGCGUAAACAACCUGCCCUACGGAUGGGGACAACAGCUGGAAACGGCUGCUAAUACCGAAUACGUUCCGAAAGUCGCGUGACUAUCGGAAGAAAGGAUGGCCUCUAUUUAUAAGCUAUCGCCGGCGGAGGGGUUUGCGUCUGAUUAGCUAGUUGGAGGGGUAACGGCCCACCAAGGCGACGAUCAGUUGGCGGACUGAGAGGAUGAGCAGCCGCAUUGGAACGGGGACGCGGUCCAGACUCGUAAGGGAGGCAGCAGUGGGGAAUCUUCCGCAAUGAGCGAAAGCGUGACGGAGCAAAGCCGCGUGAGUGAAGACGGGCUUCGGGUUGUAAAGGUCGGUUAUACGGGACGAAUAAUCUUGUGGUUAAGACCCAUGAGAAGUGACGGUACCGGAAGAGAAAGCAACGGCUAACUACGUG
rnacentral:rRNA from 1 species